GGGUCAGUAGGUUGGUCGUGCCACCGGUACGUACUGGUCUCACUGAUUCCUCCUUCCUGAAGAACCGUAAUGCCAUUAAUUUGGUGUUGCGGGGAAACAGGACUGUUACUUUGGAAAAAUUAGAGUGUUUAAAGCAAGCUAACGCUUGAAUACAUUAGCAUGGAAUGAUGAAAUAGGACGAUCGAUCCUAUUUUGUUGGUUUCUAGGAUUGACGUA
rnacentral:rRNA from 1 species